CCCAAAACCCGGAUCGGUUAACACCAAGCCAGAAGCGUCGACAAUACGGAGGGUGCGUGCGUUAAUCGGAAUUACUGGGCGUAAAGGGCGCGUAGGUUGUUUAGUAAGUGAUCUGUGAAAUCCCUGGGCUCAACCUGGGAAGGUCAGAUAAGACUGCAAAACUCGAGUAUGGGAGAGGGUAGUGGAAUUUCCGGUGUAGCGGUGAAAUGCGUAGAGAUCGGAAGGAACACCAGUGGCGAAGGCGGCUACCUGGCCUAGUACUGACACUGAGGCACGAAAGCGUGGGGAGCAGACAGGAUU
rnacentral:rRNA from 1 species